AGGGUCAACUGGACAGUCGCCGCUUAAUUCAUUAAUUUGUUUUUAAGGGGAGGAAAGUCCGGACUUUAAAGAGUAGAGUGCCAGGUAACGCCUGGGCAGUGUAAACUGACGGCAAGUGCAGCAGAAAGUAAACCGCCUUUYARWMWURGANCUUGRKUYWARMUUWNNAUCGGUAAGGGUGAAAGGGUGCGGUAAGAGCGCACCGCGCUGGUGGUAACAUUCAGUGGCAAGGUAAACCCCACUCAAAGCAAGACCAAAUAGGGUUCCGUGUAGCGUUAGUGUUUACAUUUUCGACUACUGAGGUGUUACUCGCAUUGGAACCGGGUAGGUCGCUUGAGCCAUAGAGUGAUUUAUGGCCUAGACGAAUGACUGUUCACGACAGGAUCCGGCUUAUAGGUUGACCCUCACA
rnacentral:RNase_P_RNA from 1 species